rnacentral:rRNA from 1 species
GACGAACGCUGGCGGCGUGCUUAACACAUGCAAGUCGUACGGUAAGGCCCUUUCGGGGGUACCCGAGUGGCGAACGGGUGAGUAACACGUGAGUAACCUGCCCACAACUUUGGGAUAACGCUAGGAAACUGGUGCUAAUACUGGAUAUGUGCUCCUGCUGCAUGGUGGGGGUUGGAAAGCUCCGGCGGUUGUGGAUGGACUCGCGGCCUAUCAGCUUGUUGGUGGGGUAGUGGCCUACCAAGGCGGCGACGGGUAGCCGGCCUGCGAGGGUGACCGGCCACAUUGGGACUGAGAGACGGCCCAGACUCCUACGGGAGGCAGCAGGGGGGAAUAUUGCACAAUGGGCGCAAGCCUGAUGCAGCAACGCCGCGGGCGGGAUGACGGCCUUCGGGUUGUAAAACGCUUUCAGCAGGGACGAAGCUUUUUGUGACGGUACCUGCAGAAGAAGCACCGGCUAACUACGUG